rnacentral:rRNA from 1 species
GUCUUUAAGAGUUAAUUUAAGGUUUUUUUCUGCUCAAUGAUUAAUAAAUAGCUGCAGUAAUUUAACUGUGCGAAGGUAGCAUAAUAAAUAGUUUUUUAAUUGGAGACUGGAAUGAAAGGAUGGAUGAGGAUUGGCUAUCUGAUUUUUAUAUUUGAAUUUGACUAUUAGGUAAGAAGGCUUAAAAAUUUAUAAGGGACGAGAAGACCCUAUAGAACUUGAUUGAUUGAUUUAAAAUAUUAACGUUGAUUUAGUUGGGGUGACUUUAAGAAAAAAAUAACUUUUUAUGAUUGGUAACAAAAAUAAAUGGAAGAAAAUUGAGAUUGAUUAGAAGAUAAGUUACCUUAGGGAUAACAGCAUAAUUUUUUUGGAGAGUUCUUAUCAAUAGAAAAGAUUGUGACCUCGAUGUUGAAUUAAGAUAAAUUUUAGGUGAAGAAGUUGUAUAAUUAAGUCUGUUCGACUUUUAAAAUCUUACA